AGUGAAUGCUAGGGGUAUGCUUAACACAUGCAAGUUGAACGGAACAUCUGUUUAGUAGCGUACGGGUGAGUAAUAUAGGAGAACCAAGCACUAAGUUCGGAACAAGAGAUUUGUCUGUAUAAAUGCCCGGAUAUUGAAAAGAUUUAUCGCUUAGUGUGGGGCUCCUAUGGGAUUAGGUUGUUGGUUGUGUAAUGGACAACCAAGCCAGGGAUCCCUAGUUGGUCUGAGAGGAUGAUCAGCCACACUGGGACUGAAACAAGGCCCAGACUUCCAUGGAGGGCAGCAGUGAGGAGUAUUGGACAAU
rnacentral:rRNA from 1 species